CCUACGGGGGGCAGCAGUGGGGAAUAUUGGGCAAUGGGCGCAAGCCUGACCCAGCAACGCCGCGUGAAGGAAGAAGGCUUUCGGGUUUUAAACUUCUUUUAUCAGGGACGAAGCAAGUGACGGUACCUGAUGAAUAAGCCACGGCUAACUACGUGCCAGCAGCCGCGGUAAUACGUAGGUGGCAAGCGUUAUCCGGAUUUACUGGGUGUAAAGGGCGUGUAGGCGGGAGUGCAAGGCAGAUGUGAAAACUAUGGGCUCAAACCAUAGCCAUGAUUUGAAACUGGACUUCUUGAGGGCUGGGGAGGGAAUCGGGAUUCCGGGGGUAGCGGUGAAAU
rnacentral:rRNA from 1 species